GUGGGGAAUUUUGGACAAUGGGCGCAAGCCUGAUCCAGCAAUGCCGCGUGCAGGAAGAAGGCCUUCGGGUUGUAAACUGCUUUUGUACGGAACGAAACGGUCCGGGUUAAUACCCUGGGCUAAUGACGGUACCGUAAGAAUAAGCACCGGCUAACUACGUGCCAGCAGCCGCGGUAAUACGUAGGGUGCAAGCGUUAAUCGGAAUUACUGGGCGUAAAGCGUGCGCAGGCGGUUUUGUAAGACAGACGUGAAAUCCCCGGGCUCAACCUGGGAAUGGCGUUUGUGACUGCAAAGCUGGAGUGCGGCAGAGGGGGAUGGAAUUCCGCGUGUAGCAGUGAAAUGCGUAGAUAUGCGGAGGAACACCGAUGGCGAAGGCAAUCCCCUGGGCCUGCACUGACGCUCAUGCACGAAAGCGUGGGGAGCAAACAGGAUUAGAUACCCUAGUAGUCC
rnacentral:rRNA from 1 species